rnacentral:rRNA from 1 species
CAGUAGCCGCGGGAAUACGUAGGAGGCAAGCGUUGUCCGGAAUUAUUGGGCGUAAAGGGCUCGCAGGCGGUUUCUUAAGUCUGAUGUGAAAGCCCCCGGCUCAACCGGGGAGGGUCAUUGGAAACUGGGAAACUUGAGUGCAGAAGAGGAGAGUGGAAUUCCACGUGUAGCGGUGAAAUGCGUAGAGAUGUGGAGGAACACCAGUGGCGAAGGCGACUCUCUGGUCUGUAACUGACGCUGAGGAGCGAAAGCGUGGGGAGCGAACAGGAUUAGAUACCCCCGUAGUCCCUGUCUCUUAUAC